rnacentral:rRNA from 1 species
CCUACGGGUGGCUGCAGUGAGGAAUAUUGGUCAAUGGGCGCGAGCCUGAACCAGCCAAGUCGCGUGAGUGAAGAAGGUCCUAUGGAUUUUAAACCUCUUUUGUCGGGGAGCAAAAGACGUCUGGCGAGUCGUAUUGAGAGUACCCGAAGAAAAAGCAUCGGCUAACUCCGUGCCAGAAGCCGCGGUAGUACGGAGGAUGCGAGCGUUAUCCGGAUUUAUUGGGUUAAAGGGGUGGGCAGGGGGAGAGUCAAGUCAGCGGUAAAAUUGCGGGGCUCAACCUCGUCGAGCCGUUGAAACUGGUGUGCUUGAGUACAGGAGAGGUAAGCGGAAUGAGUGGUGUAGCGGUGAAAUGCAUAGAUAUCACGAAGAACUCCGAUUGCGAAGGCAGCUUACCGGCCCUCGACUGACGCUCAGGCACGAAAGUGUGGGUAUCGAACAGGAUUAGAUACCCUGGUAGUC